CGAACAGGGGUACUUUGGUAGUUAUGAGUUUAUUAGGGAUAAAUUGUUAAUUAAGUCACCGAUCUCUUUUAAGAAAACACGCGUACUGCAAUUUUACUGCGUAAAAUACUAAGUUCUGUUCUCUCCCACCUACCUUCCAUGACUCCUCCUGAUUUUCUCCAAUUUCUUCCCAUUGUACAGUGCAGUCUAGAAAUUUCUAUUGCCUUUGAUUUUUAUUCGAUUUUGCACAAAUUUUUCUAGCAGUGCUUCAAAUGACUGGAUUCUCUGAGAUGUCUCGAAACCGAUUCUGCUGAAGAAGGUAUUCUACAACUAAACACAUUAGUAGGCUCAAUUUGUCGAGCACAUACAUGUCCAGAAUCAGGUAACAAAUGAAUCAAAUUGGUCAAAAAGUAGAAUCAGACAGGCGGCUUGCCACCAUUAGGAAGAUCUACCCACUUCCUCUCCUCCAACGCUCUUUUCUUUUCAAUUUAUUGGUGAUACAGGUUUCAAGGUUUGGUAUUAUGACGUAGAUGUCUCUACAAGAUCGAUUACCAUAUGUUGUAGGCAAUUUGAUAUCUCAUUUCCGUCUGUUCACCAAGCAGAAGGAUGGGUUAUUUGGAUUUUCGAAAGAUUACUCUGAUUUAAAGCUCUAUCAUUCUAAAGAGAAUUGAAGUAAUGAGAGCUUUAUGGGCAGAAGGGUAUGCAGAGAUUAAACAAUAUUAAUUUGGAACAGGUGAGAAGCAACAGAAUACUAAUAUGGUAUUUUAAAUUUUUUUCUUAUUUGAUAUAUGCUAUUUUGAGUGAAAUUUUUUAUCUGACGUUGAGUUAAACAGGUGAUACUAAUGCUUGAAAUAAGUUGCUUUGACAUUAGUUCUCUGCCAAUGUAUUGGUUUAUCUUUUAUUCUUAAUAAUUAAUUUGAGGUCUUACAGUAUAACUGAAGAAUUGAAAAGGUAAUUUGGAUUGUCAUCAGCCACUAUGUAACUUUCUUUAUAAGGUGGUCUUAAGUUUCUUUUGUACUUUAGGCUAA